rnacentral:rRNA from 1 species
AGCGAACGCUGGCGGCAGGCUUAACACAUGCAAGUCGAGCGGGCAUCCUUGUGGUGUCAGCGGCAGACGGGUGAGUAACGCGUGGGAACGUGCCCUUCGGUUCGGAAUAACUCAGGGAAACUUGAGCUAAUACCGGAUACGUGCGAGAGCAGAAAGGUUUAUCUGCCGAAGGAUCGGCCCGCGUCUGAUUAGCUAGUUGGUGAGGUUAUGGCUCACCAAGGCGACGAUCAGUAGCUGGUCUGAGAGGUUGAUCAGCCACACUGGGACUGAGACACGGCCCAGACUCCUACGGGAGGCAGCAGUGGGGAAUAUUGGACAAUGGGGGCAACCCUGAUCCAGCCAUGCCGCGUGAGUGAUGACGGCCUUAGGGUUGUAAAGCUCUUUUCUCCGGGACGAUAAUGACGGUACCGGAGGAAUAAGCCCCGGCUAACUUCGUG